rnacentral:rRNA from 1 species
CCGUUUCGAGAAAAGCGGGGACUGCUGUUUUUCGACCUUUCGGGGUCGAGAUUCUUGGUGGAAACCGCGUUAAUCGCAGUGGCUUGAACCGGGCAAAAGUCGUAACAAGGUUUCCGUAGGUGAACCUGCGGAAGGAUCAU